UACGAAGGGUGCAAGCGUUACUCGGAAUUACUGGGCGUAAAGCGUGCGUAGGCGGUUUGUUAAGUCUGUCGUGAAAGCCCCGGGCUCAACCUGGGAAUGGCGAUGGAUACUGGCGAGCUAGAGUACGGUAGAGGAGAGUGGAAUUCCCGGUGUAGCAGUGAAAUGCGUAGAGAUCGGGAGGAACAUCAGUUGCGAAGGCGGCUCUCUGGACCGGUACUGACGCUGAGGCACGAAAGCGUGGGGAGCAAACAGG
rnacentral:rRNA from 1 species